rnacentral:rRNA from 1 species
UAGGAAAGACAUCACUCGCAGAAGAAGCACCGGCUAACUCCGUGCCAGCAGCCGCGGUAAUACGGAGGGUGCAAGCGUUAAUCGGAAUUACUGGGCGUAAAGCGCGCGUAGGUGGCUUGAUAAGCCGGUUGUGAAAGCCCCGGGCUCAACCUGGGAACGGCAUCCGGAACUGUCAGGCUAGAGUGCAGGAGAGGAAGGUAGAAUUCCCGGUGUAGCGGUGAAAUGCGUAGAGAUCGGGAGGAAUACCAGUGGCGAAGGCGGCCUUCUGGACUGACACUGACACUGAGGUGCGAAAGCGUGGGUAGCAAACAGGAUUAGAUACCCUGGUAGUCCACGCCGUAAACGAUGUCGACCAGCCGUUGGGUGCCUAGAGCACUUUGUGGCGAAGUUAACGCGAUAAGUCGACCGCCUGGGGAGUACGGCCGCAAGGUUAAAACUCAAAUGAAUUGACGGGGGCCCGCACAAGCGGUGGAGCAUGUGGUUUAAUUCGAUGCAACGCGAAGAACCUUACCUACCCUUGACAUCUACAGAAGCCGGAAGAGAUUCUGGUGUGCCUUCGGGAACUGUAAGACAGGUGCUGCAUGGCUGUCGUCAGCUCGUGUUGUGAAAUGUUGGGUUAAGUCCCGUAACGAGCGCAACCCUUGUCCUUAUUUGCCAGCACGUAAUGGUGGGAACUCUAAGGAGACUGCCGGUGACAAACCGGAGGAAGGUGGGGACGACGUCAAGUCAUCAUGGCCCUUACGGGUAGGGCUACACACGUGCUACAAUGGCCGGUACAAAGGGCUGCGAGCUUGCGAGAGUCAGCGAAUCCCUUAAAGCCGGUCUCAGUCCGGAUCGGAGUCUGCAACUCGACUCCGUGAAGUCGGAAUCGCUAGUAAUCGUGAAUCAGAAUGUCACGGUGAAUACGUUCCCGGGCCUUGUACACACCGCCCGUCACACCAUGGGAGUGGACUGCACCAGAAGUGGUUAGCCUAACGCAAGAGGGCGAUCACCACGGUGUGGUUCAUGACUGGGGUGAAGUCGUAACAAGGUAGCCGUAGGGGAACCUGCGGCU